AAUGAACGCUGGCGGCAUGCCUAACACAUGCAAGUCGAACGAAGGCUUCGGCCUUUGUGGCGCACGGGUGCGGAACGCGUGGGAAUCUGCCCUUGGGUUCGGAAUAACAGUUAGAAAUGACUGCUAAUACCGGAUGAUGUCGUAAGACCAAAGAUUUAUUGCCCCAGGAUGAGCCCGCGUAGGAUUCGCUGGUUGGUGGGGUAAAGGCCUACCAAGGCGUGGAUCCUUAGCUGGUCUGAGAGGAUGAUUAGCCACACUAGGACUGAGCCACAGCCCAGAAUCCUACGCGAGGGAGCAGUGGGGAACAUAGGACAAUGGGCGAAGGCCUGAUCCAGCAAUGCCGGGUGAGUGAUGAAGGCCUUAGGGUUGUAAUGUUGUUUUAACCGGGAUGAUAAUGACAGUACCGGGUGAAUAAGCACCGGCUAACUUCGUG
rnacentral:rRNA from 1 species